CAGUCGCCACGGUAAUACAGAGGGUGCGAGCGUUAAUCGGAUUUACUGGGCGUAAAGCGUGCGUAGGCGGCUUCUUAAGUCGGAUGUGAAAUCCCUGAGCUUAACUUAGUAAUUGCAUUCGAUACUGGGAAGCUAGAGUAUGGGAGAGGAUGGUAGAAUUCCAGGUGUAGCGGUGAAAUGCGUAGAGAUCUGGAGGAAUACCGAUGGCGAAGGCAGCCAUCUGGCCUAAUACUGACGCUGAGGUACGAAAGCAUGGGGAGCAAACAGGAUUAGAUACCCGAGUAGUCCCUGUCUCUUAUAA
rnacentral:rRNA from 1 species